rnacentral:RNase_P_RNA from 3 species
ACACCUGUACACAUGGUCGCUCCUGUCUUUAAGGCGGGAGAGGAAAGUCCGAACACCACCUCUUAACGGAGGUAGAGACAGUUGCUAACGGCAACGAGCUAUAAGAUUCUUCGCAAGAGGAGUCCCAAGGCUACGGAAAGUGCAACAGAAAAUAUACCGCCCCAAUGGCAACAUUGGAGUAAGGUUGAAAUCGUGAGGUAAGAGCUCACGCGGGACCGCCGGGUGACCGGCGCCGUGGAAAACACCUGUCCGGUGCAAGCGCAAAUUUGGUAGCGCGCUGGACCCUGUGAGCAAUUGCAGGGCAAGAGAGAUGACCGUGUAAGGGAUCCGUUGAACGCGGCCCUGAACAGAAUUCGGCUUAUGGACAGAUGGAGGU